CACGUAGGGCGCAAGCGUUGUCCGGAAUUAUUGGGCGUAAAGAGCUCGUAGGCGGUCUGUUGCGUCCGCUGUGAAAACUCGGGGCUUAACCCCGAGCCUGCAGUGGAUACGGGCAGACUAGAGGUAGGUAGGGGAGAAUGGAAUUCCCGGUGUAGCGGUGAAAUGCGCAGAUAUCGGGAGGAACACCGGUGGCGAAGGCGGUCUCCUGGGGCAUUCUUGACGCUGAGGCGCGAAAGCUGGGGGAGCAAACGGG
rnacentral:rRNA from 1 species